AGCGAACGCUGGCGGCAGGCUUAACACAUGCAAGUCGAGCGGGUGUAGCAAUACAUCAGCGGCAGACGGGUGAGUAACGCGUGGGAACGUACCUUUUGGUUCGGAACAACACAGGGAAGCUUGUGCUAAUACCGGAUAAGCCCUUACGGGGAAAGAUUUAUCGCCGAAAGAUCGGCCCGCGUCUGAUUAGCUAGUUGGUAGGGUAAUGGCCUACCAAGGCGACGAUCAGUAGCUGGUCUGAGAGGAUGAUCAGCCACAUUGGGACUGAGACACGGCCCAAACUCCUACGGGAGGCAGCAGUGGGGAAUAUUGGACAAUGGGGGCAACCCUGAUCCAGCCAUGCCGCGUGAGUGAUGAAGGCCCUAGGGUUGUAAAGCUCUUUUGUGCGGGAAGAUAAUGACGGUACCGCAAGAAUAAGCCCCGGCUAACUUCGUGCCAGCCGCCGCAGUAACAC
rnacentral:rRNA from 1 species